rnacentral:lncRNA from 1 species
UGGUCCCCUACUCCUCUUCUCUUCCCUCCACGUGGCCGGACACGUAACAAACUCCCACUCACUCGAAUCUUCCAUCAUUUUUAUUCCUUUACUAAUCAUAAAUCCGAAUUCUUUUUGACGAUUUUUAGAAAAUUGGAUGCCUCAGGAUUAAUAUUCUUUGAUCCUAGACUUCCACUUGUCUAGAAUUUCGGAUUAUUUUCUUAGAGGAGUUUUUAUCCAUUUCUUGGAGAGGAAGAAGAGAACAUUCUAGGUUCUCUAUAUAUACUCCAUUUUUCAGAUUUUGUAGCUGUUUUCGAUCAAAUUUCGUCAUCGGCAUUCCUUAUAACACAUCUGAGCAGCAAAUCAAUUAAGAAAACUUCUUGUGAGGUCUAUUUCUUUCCCUUCUUUCAUUUAUUUCGUGCUCUAUGGUGAUAAGUAUGGUAUUGGCCUUUUAUCUUAGCCUCGUUUGUAUGUCUUGUUAGUGUAUAUUUGAUCUUCCCUGGUUUCAGAUAUCAGUGUGUUGCUGUAGAAAUCUUAGCUGAAUCAUCUAUCUGAUAAUUUCAUGUUUUUCAUUAAGUUUCAUUUUAAGGAAGGUCGAAUCUGAUUUUUUUUUAAAUUUAAUUUAAUUGUUAGUUGAGAUUUCUAGUUUGAGAUUCACUCGUGGAAUGUUAUAGAAGGUAAAAAAAUGUCAUAAUACUAUUUCUGAACUUCAAUAACCUUACUAUAGGCAUGUUUGAGUCUUUUGAAGUUGCUUAAAAAUUAGUUUGAGCGUAUUUGGUUCUUGUACAACUAUUUGUAUGUCAGGUUGCGAGUCUUUAAGGUGUUAAUCCUUUUAGAUAUGAUUGAGUGCUAUUGUGAUGUGAAUGUGUUGAGAGUUGCCUCAAACUUACCCAGGGGUGUCAAACGGGCGGGUCGGGUCAGAUAUAGAAUGAGUUGAAAGCGGAUAAUAAAAAAACGGAUAAAUUAUCCGAUCCGAUCUAUAUUUUAUACGGAUAAAAAAUGGAUUAACCGGCAGAUAAUAUGGUCUAUGACUCCUUGAAUAUGAUCACUUUUGGGAGAAUUUCUAGUCUCUCAAACUUGAGAAACUUCAAAUUUGAGACUUUAAAAAUGUAAAAGUUAAACCCAUUAGUUAUCCAUUUUCUAAAUGGAUAAUAUGGUUCUUAUCCAUUUUUGACCCGUUUUUUAAAAGUUUAUUAUCCAACCCAUUUUUUAGUGAAUAAUAUAGAUGGUUAACUAUUUUCUUUUAACCAUUUUGCCAUGACCACGACGUAUUGGCAAUUUGUUUGUCCAUGAGCAAUUGUUUAGAUGUUUAUUAGUUGGUUGUUUGGUUUGAUUUAUGCUUAUCAUGAAAGAUGAACGUAGGUCGCGGAAAGGCUAGGCCCAUUAGUGAUUAAACUAUCUGCAUGCUUUAAUCUGCAUGCUUUAGGAUUGGACUUGAUCUAAAUACAUGAAAAUGAUAAGUUAAAAGAACAUGAACCCAAUUUGAAUUUUCUUUUAGUUUCUCUUAUUUACUUAUUCUCAUUUUUAUUAUUAUUCACUAGUAGUACGUUUAGGCCGACCACACUGGAGUAGGCAAACUUUAGGCCCGUUCCUUUCGAGGUUAGAGGUUGUCCCGUAGUUUGUUAUUUUAUUCGGGGAAUGCUCCGAGAAGCUUGUAUAUAUUUUUAUCCGGGGUAUGCCCCGUAGUGAAUGCAAUUGAAGACUGAAGGCGGACAUCCUUCGAGCAAAUAUUAGUAUAGGCUAGUUUAGGACUUUUAUUUUCUUUUCUUUUCCUUUCAGGUAGGGGACAACCUCGAGCCUCUUGUUUGUUUUUACCUCAAUCCGAGUAUUCUUUAAAGCGGAUCAAGUAUGCAACCGUACUAGUUACGUGACUCGGGGAAUGCCUAACACCUUCUCUCUUAGUCAAAUGAACCCCAUUUCUCGGAAUUUCUAGUGCAGACUAUGUUUUAAAGUCAAAAAUAUUUUUAAGGGAAAAUUAUUUUUUAAACGGUGAUUUGGCACACCGAGAUUCAUGUCAAGUGGCGACUCUGGAAAAUCCCUUUUAAACAAAUAUUUUUGUCACUUUCAAAUUGAAAGCCAUUUGAGCUUUAAAAACCAUUUUUAUCUUUUAAAGGGUAGUUAAGGUGAAAAAAGGGGUGUGACGGCUUCAUUUUUUGUGAUUUCUCCUCUUGAUUUGUUGUUGUUCUUAUUGCUAUUGUUGCUCCGUGUUUGACACUUAUUGUGCAGCCAAUUUGAAGAACUUUUGUAAUCCUCUUUUUAUUAUAGUGAAUCUUUUUGAAUCUUUGUGAUCCUGUGGUUUUUACCUUCAAUUUGAAGAAUUUUCCACGUUAAAAUUUGAUGUUAUUUAUCUUCUCUAUUUUCGGAUUUGCCUCUUCCUCAACAUAACACACCCUAGACCCAGCAUCUUGCCUUUUGAUGUUAACCUAUUCCGCGUUACUGUUAAAAAAACAUGAAAUUAAUUGGUUCUCGUAAUGGAUUCAAUUUUUAAUUUGUUGAAUGGUGAUUGGUAUGAUGAGAACCAUUUUGUUUACAUUAGCAAUCCUCUUUUGGGGCUGAGUAUUUCAAGCUUAAAUUGUCCAAAUGGAAGAAAAGAUUUUGUGGUGUUAUUUAUGGAUUAUGCUUUAAUCUACAAGCGUGAUCUAUAAUCUCAAAGGCCCAAUUAAUAUUGUACCAGACUCUCAACUUCUACAACUUUCAUUAUUUACUAAUUUCUUAAUUUCAUAUUUCUUUAAUGUUUGUAAACUGAAAAGUGAGAGAGUCACACUAGGUGGGUAUUUUGUUUUUUUAUCGAAUUAGCAAAAGUUACUAAUAUGUCAUCAAUCAACAAAGCCUAUUUUUUCUUCUAAAAUGAAAGUACCUAAUUCUGCCUGUAAAUAUUUUUAAUUUCUUCUUAAUGAAGAUAUUUUUCGUUAUGUUCUUUUCGUUUUCUAGGAUCAAGAGUUAUUGAGGGACGAGGAAAAAUGUUUUGUUAUUACAUAACUCUUUAUAUAGGAAAUUCAAAGCUUUAUAUAUUGUUUUUAUUAAUAAAUAAGCAAAUCAGGUGUUCAAUACCCGCUUUGGGACUUGACUAAUCCAGAUUCGUGUCGAAAAGCCUCAUUUUGGGGCGUAAAGUGCUCGAACGACUUCGGUUAAAGAUAAAAAAAUACGUAUCAUUCCACAAAAUGCUUUCCAUUCGUAAAUUGAAGAAAAAAGUUAAAGGUGUUAAUGGUUUUCUUGUCCUGCUAAGUGCUAACUUGUACUAAUAAAUAUAUUCUUGAAUUCAUCUUGCAAAAUAUAUAUUUGUAAAUAAGAUGAAAGAUACAAACUUUUGAAGUAAAAAAGAAGAAUUUUUAUUUGGUUUUUCUUUGUAUUUGGUAACGAAUAAUCAGAAUCUUGAGAUAUUUUUGACUAAUGCAGAGUUGACAGAAAGCCUGGACCUGUGAAUGCGAAAUUUUCUCAUGUAUGUCCACAUUCCACACUCCACUGUCUGUUACCAAUGAAAAUAAAUGCAUUUGAGAUUAAAUAAACUACAAGAAUUUUUAUCCAAGUUGAUGCCAGACUUAUAUGCGUUGAUAACAUAUAUUAGUGUAAUUUGUUCAAUUUAUUAUAGCAAAUUAUAACUUUAUUUUUCAAGAUA